rnacentral:rRNA from 1 species
CCUACGGGAGGCAGCAGUAGGGAAUUUUCGUCAAUGGGCGCAAGCCUGAACGAGCAAUGCCGCGUGAACGAGGAAGGUCUUCGGAUCGUAAAGUUCUGUUGAAGGGGAAAAAGAGCGGAGAGAGGAAAUGGUCUCCGAUUGAUAUUACCCUUCGAGGAAGUCACGGCUAACUACGUGCCAGCAGCCGCGGUAAUACGUAGGUGGCGAGCGUUAUCCGGAAUGAUUGGGCGUAAAGGGUGCGUAGGCGGCCUGCUAAGUCUGGAGUGAAAGGUACCGGCUCAAACGGUACAGGCUCUGGGAACUGGCGGGCUAGAGAGCAGGAGAGGGCGGUGGUACUCCAUGGGUAGCGGUAAAAUGCGUAGAUAUAUGGAAGAACACCAGUGGCGAAGGCGGCCGCCUGGCCUGUUGACUGACGCUGAGGCACGAAAGCGUGGGGAGCAAAUAGGAUUAGAUACCCUUGUAGUC